UAAACUGUGACGGCGUGCCUUUUGCAUAAUGAACCUACGAGUUACUUUUUCCGGCAAGGUUAAGGAUCUUGAGAUCUGCAGCCGAAGCGAAAGCGAGUCUUAAUAGGGCGGAUAGUCGGAAGGAGUAGACGCGAAACCAAGUGAUCUACCCUUGGCCAGGUUGAAGGACAGGUAACACUGUCUGGAGGACCGAACCGAUAAGCGUUGAAAAGCUUCCGGAUGAGCUGAGGGUGGGGGUGAAAGGCUAAUCAAACUUGGAGAUAGCUCGUACUCCCCGAAAUGCAUUUAGGUGCAGCCUUGAUUUAUACUAAUAUGAGGUAGAGCGACUGAUAAGAUGCGAGGGCUUCGCCGCCUAUCAAGUCUUGACAAACUCCGAAUGCGUAUUAGUUCUAUAUCAGGAGUGAGGGCAUGGGUGCUAAGGUCCAUGUCCUAAAGGAGAACAAUCCGGACCAUCAGCUAAGGUCCCGAAAUAAUUGCUAAGUUGAUCUAACGAAGUCAGAUUGCUAAGACAGCUAGGAUGUUGGCUUGGAAGCAGCCAUUCAUUUAAAGAGUGCGUAACAGCUCACUAGUCGAGGAGUUUGGCGUGGAUAAUAAUCGGGCAUAAGCAAUUUACCGAAGCUAUGGGAUGUGCAAACAUCGGUAGGGGAGCAUUCUACUCAGCGUCGAAGGUGAAGCGUAAGCUUUGCUGGAGCGUGUAGAAAAGCAAAUGUAGGUAUAAGUAACGAUAAAGGGGGUGAGAAACCCCCUCGCCGAAAGACUAAGGUUUCCUGAUCAACGCUAAUCGGAUCAGGGUUAGUCGGGUCCUAAGGCUCAGCCGAACGGUGAGGCCGAUGGCAGAACAGGUUAAUAUUCCUGUACUACCUUAAAGAGUGACGUGGAGACGGAGGCGUGACAGUGCCGCGAACUGACGGAAUAGUUCGUUGAAGGGUGUAGAUGUUGAUCGGGGCAGGCAAAUCCGCUCCGAGAGUCGAACCUGAUAGUAUGGAGCGUUCUUCGGAACAAUCCAAUAGUGCAUGUAAACAUACUCCCAAGAAAAUCCGCUAAACUUAAUCUUUAAGGUACCCGUACCGUAAACGGACACACGUAGUCGGGUUGAAUAUACUAAGGCGCUUGAGUGAUUCACGGUUAAGGAACUAGGCAAAUUGACCCUGUAACUUCGGGAUAAAGGGUCCCCACUGCGAGGUGGGGCGCAGAGAAUCGGUCCAGGCAACUGUUUAACAAAAACACAGGGCUAUGCCAAAUUGAAAGAUGAAGUAUAUAGCCUGACACCUGCCCGGUGCUGGAAGGUUAAGAGGAGAUGUCAUCGCAAGAGAAGCAUUGAAUUGAAGCCCCAGUAAACGGCGGCCGUAACUAUAACGGUCCUAAGGUAGCGAAAUUCCUUGUCGGGUAAGUUCCGACCUGCACGAAUGGUGUAAUGAUCUGGACACUGUCUCAACCGUGAGCUCAGUGAAAUUGUA
rnacentral:rRNA from 1 species